rnacentral:rRNA from 1 species
AUUGAACGCUGGCGGCAUGCUUUACACAUGCAAGUCGAACGGGUGAGGGGGCAACUCCUCAUCUAGUGGCGAACGGGUGAGUAAUGCAUCGGAACGUGUCCCGUAGUGGGGGAUAACCCGGCGAAAGCCGGACUAAUACCGCAUAUGCUCUACGGAGGAAAGUGGGGGACCAGCAAUGGCCUCACGCUAUGGGAGCGGCCGAUGUCCGAUUAGCUUGUUGGUGAGGUAAUGGCUCACCAAGGCGACGAUCGGUAGCUGGUCUGAGAGGACGAUCAGCCACACUGGGACUGAGACACGGCCCAGACUCCUACGGGAGGCAGCAGUGGGAAUUUUGGACAAUGGGGGCAACCCUGAUCCAGCCAUGCCGCGUGCGGGAAGAAGGCCCUAGGG